AUUGAACGCUGGCGGCAGGCCUAACACAUGCAAGUCGAGCGGAUGAAGGGAGCUUGCUCCUGGAUUCAGCGGCGGACGGGUGAGUAAUGCCUAGGAAUCUGCCUGGUAGUGGGGGAUAACGUCCGGAAACGGGCGCUAAUACCGCAUACGUCCUGAGGGAGAAAGUGGGGGAUCUUCGGACCUCACGCUAUCAGAUGAGCCUAGGUCGGAUUAGCUAGUUGGUGGGGUAAAGGCCUACCAAGGCGACGAUCCGUAACUGGUCUGAGAGGAUGAUCAGUCACAAGGGAAAUGAGAAACGGACCAGAAUGCUACGGGAGGGAGGAGUGGGGAAGAGUGGAGAAUGGGAGAAAGCCUGAUCCAGCCAUGCCGGGUGUGAGAAGAAGGUAGUCGGAAUGUAAAGCACUUUAAGGUGGGAGGAAGGGCAGUAAGUUAAUACCUUGAUGUUUUGACGUUACCAACAGAAUAAGCACCGGCUAACU
rnacentral:rRNA from 1 species